rnacentral:rRNA from 1 species
AUUGAACGCUGGCGGCAUGCCUUACACAUGCAAGUCGAACGGCAGCACGGGAGCAAUCCUGGUGGCGAGUGGCGAACGGGUGAGUAAUAUAUCGGAACGUGCCCAGUCGUGGGGGAUAACGUAGCGAAAGCUACGCUAAUACCGCAUACGAUCUAUGGAUGAAAGCGGGGGAUCGCAAGACCUCGCGCGAUUGGAGCGGCCGAUAUCAGAUUAGGUAGUUGGUGGGGUAAAAGCCUACCAAGCCUUCGAUCUGUAGCUGGUCUGAGAGGACGACCAGCCACACUGGGACUGAGACACGGCCCAGACUCCUACGGGAGGCAGCAGUAAGGAAUAUUGGUCAAUGGAGGGAACUCUGAACCAGCCAUGCCGCGUGAAGGAUGACGGCCCUCUGGGUUGUAAACUUCUUUUGGAUGGGGCGAAAAAACGGGNUUUAUCCUGGACUGACGGUACCAUCAGAAUAAGCACCGGCUAACUCCGUGCCAGCUAGCCGACGG